UCCUAGCCCUAAACGAUGCGCACUAGGUGGAGGAGGCUCUGACGGUCAUCCCCGCCGCAGCGAAAGCGUUAAGUGCGCCGCCUGGGGAGUACGGUCGCAAGGCUAAAACUCAAAGGAAUUGACGGGGGCUCACACAAGCGGUGGAGCAUGUGGCUCAAUUCGAGGCAACGCGAAGAACCUUAUCCUGGGCUUGACAUGCAGGUAGUAGAAAGCCGAAAGGCCGACGAUAGGUUCAGUCCUAAGCCUGCACAGGUGCUGCAUGGCUGUCGUCAGCUCGUGCUGUGAAGUGUCGGGUUAAGU
rnacentral:rRNA from 1 species